UACGAAGGGGGCUAGCGUUGCUCGGAAUCACUGGGCGUAAAGCGCACGUAGGCGGGUUCUUAAGUCAGGGGUGAAAUCCUGGAGCUCAACUCCAGAACUGCCUUUGAUACUGGGAAUCUCGAGUCCGGGAGAGGUGAGUGGAACUGCGAGUGUAGAGGUGAAAUUCGUAGAUAUUCGCAAGAACACCAGUGGCGAAGGCGGCUCACUGGCCCGGUACUGACGCUGAGGCACGAAGGCCAGGGGAGCAAACGG
rnacentral:rRNA from 1 species